rnacentral:lncRNA from 1 species
CUUAUGCCUAGCCUUAACCACACUGCUGACCUUAUGCCUAGCCUUAACCACACUGCUAACCUUAUGCCUAGCCUUAACCACACUGCUGACCUUAUGCCUAGCCUUAACCACACUGCUAACCUUAUGCCUAGCCUUAAAUUAACACCAAAAAUAACAUUUUUAUAAUAUAGACAAUUGACUUUGUGACUGCGGUAAAAACCUCCCUAGGAAAAACAAAUAUGCAAGCAGCUCUCACGACUUAUGUCCUGUGAGUUCCAGUUUCCUUGGCGUUCAUUGGGACUUACUGUAGCUCUCAGCACAAGUCAAACCAAAAAGAGUAACAGGAUGUCGUCCACGCAUGCUGUAUCAAACCAGAAAUAUGCCGUGGCCUGUCAGGUGGUCAGAGUAGGGUGGAGAAUGUUUACAUGUGUAAAUGUAUACACAAUGUAUGUUAUUUAUAAUCCUGAUUUGUAAAGUCUGCUAUGCCGGUAUGAUUCCAGCUACUGCAUUACAGACGAGGCUUUCACUAUAUCACGUUGUUAUUUAUCUGACUGAGGCUUAAAUUCAGGCACUUGGUGACUUCCUGUUAAUAUCACUUAUUUUUCUCCCCCACCUUUCUGUUUCGCCUCUCUAUUUGAUCACUUGUCCUGUUUCUCCAAUGGCCUUGAUGAAAGACGAACAUUAAUUCAUUCUCCUAAUUUCUGUUUGAAUGUAAAAUAUUCCUCUAUUGUGACACAACUGAACAAAAAUAUAAACGCAACAUGUAAACAAUGACGUUAUGGUAGCGAUAUUAACAUUACAUUCUCUGGCAACAGCUCUGGUGGACAUUACUGCAGUCAGCAUGGCAAUUGCACACUCCCUCAACUUGAGACAUCUGUGGCAUUGUGUUGUGUGAUAAACCGCACACUUUUACAGUGGCCUUUUAUUGUCCCCAGCACAAGGUGCACAUGUGUAAUGAUCAUGCUGUUUAAUCAGCUUCUUGAUAUGCCACACCUGUCAGUUGAAUGGAUUACCUUGGCAAAUGAGAAAUGCUCACUAACAGGGAUGUAAACAAAUUAGUGCACAAAAUUAGAGAAAGGUUUUUGUGCGUAUGGAACAUUUCUGGGAUCUUUUAUUUCAGCUCAUGGGAGCAAUACUUUACAUGUUGCGUUUUAUAUUUUUGUUCAGUAUACAUAUUGGUACACUCUACAUAUCUAGAGUGUUGUUUAUUUCCAUGGUCCAAACCCUUGUUUCCCUUGGUUAUGAAACAUUACAAAAUCAUCAAUCACAUUAUUGUUAUGUCCCUUCUCCUGACCAUAACAUUCCUGUAUCUGUUGGAAUUGUGUAUGAUUUAGUGUAGCAAAAUUCCAGUAACUUUUUCCCAAAUUCUCCAGAAAUCCAGGUUGGAGGGAACAAGAAGAAAUCGAGCAUCUUCCAACCAGGAUUCCUGGAGAACCUGGAAAUAUGGGGAAAGUUAGCUGAAAUGUUUUAUUAUUUUAUUUUUCUGCAACACUACUUGAUUUGGAUGUAUUCUGCACUGUAGAUAUCUAUAUAUUAUAUACCAGUACAUGCCUGUUGUUUCUUGUUCCCCAUUUGAGUCGGUUUCAUUUGAUUUGUUUUUCACCUGUGAUUUCUCAGAGCCAUGUCAUGUGUGGUUCUUCUGCUAGGACUAGAUUUAUUUUUCUUCAAUAAAGAAUAUUUUGCUGUUUUUGUAGAUGGGUUUUGGAUAAUGGUUUCAUUAUAGAAGAAAUGCUAUCCCUGUUUUUAGAAGAUUUGUACAAACUUAUAAUAGCCCAUAUGUUCUGUUUGUAUGUUUUUAAACCACACAGCUGGUGGUAAAGCUACUUCUAGUUAUUUUAGUUCUAUAUUCAACCAGUGAAGAAGAUAAGAAGC